CCUACGGGUGGCUGCAGUGAGGAAUAUUGGUCAAUGGGCGCGAGCCUGAACCAGCCAAGUAGCGUGAAGGAUGACUGCCCUACGGGUUGUAAACCUCUUUUAUAAAGGAAUAAAGUGAGGUACGUGUGCCUUUUUGUAUGUACUUUAUGAAUAAGGAUCGGCUAACUCCGUGCCAGCAGCCGCGGUAAUACGGAGGAUCCGAGCGUUAUCCGGAUUUAUUGGGUUUAAAGGGUGCGUAGAUGGGUUGUUAAGUUAGUUGUGAAAGUUUGAGGCUCAACCGUAAAAUUGCAAUUGAUACUGGCAGUCUGGAGUACAGUUGAGGUAGGCGGAAUUCGUGGUGUAGCGGUGAAAUGCUUAGAUAUCACGAAGAACUCCGAUUGCGAAGGCAGCUUACUAGACUGCCACUGACAUUGAUGCACGAAAGUGUGGGUAGCAAACAGGAUUAGAUACCCUGGUAGUC
rnacentral:rRNA from 1 species